rnacentral:rRNA from 1 species
CGUGUAGGCGGCUUAGCAAGUCGGGUGUGAAAGCCCUCGGCUCAACCGAGGAAGUGCGCCCGAAACUGCUGAGCUUGAGUACCGGAGAGGAUGGCGGAAUUCCCCCAAGUAGAGGUGAAAUUCGUAGAUAUGGGGAGGAACACCGGUGGCGAAGGCGGCCAUCUGGACGGAUACUGACGCUGAGACGCGAAAGCGUGGGGAGCAAACAGGAUUAGAUACCCUGGUAGUCCACGCCGUAAACGAUGAGAACUAGGUGUCGUGGGUGUUGACCCCCGCGGUGCCGUAGCCAACGCAUUAAGUUCUCCGCCUGGGAAGUACGGCCGCAAGGCUAAA